rnacentral:rRNA from 1 species
GAUGAACGCUGGCGGCGUGCCUUAUACAUGCAAGUCGAGCGAACAGACGAGGAUCUUGCUCCUCUGGCGUUAGCGACGGGCGGGUAAGGAACACGUGGGUAACCUACCGAUAAGACUAGGAUAACGUCGGGAAACCUGAGCUAAUACCGGAUAAUAUAUUGAACCGCAUGGUUCAAUAGUCAAAGACGGUUUUGCGCGCACUUAUAGAGGGAUCCACGCCGCAUUAGCUAGUUGGUAAGGUAACGGCUUACCAAGGCGACGAUGCGUAGCCGACCUGAGAGGGUGAUCGGCCACACUGGAACUGAGACACGGUCCAGACUCCUACGGGAGGCAGCAGUAGGGAAUCUUCCGCAAUGGGCGCAAGCCUGACGGAGCAACGCCGCGUGAGUGAUGAAGGUCUUCGGAUCGUAAACCGCUGUUAUUAGGGAAGAACACAUGUGUAAGUAACUAUGCGGGUCUUGACGGUACCUGAUGAGAAAGCCACGGCUAACUACGUG